rnacentral:rRNA from 1 species
AUUGAACGCUGGCGGCAUGCUUUACACAUGCACGUCGAACGAGUGGCGAACGGGUGAGUAAUAUAUUGGAACGUACCGAGUAAUGGGGGAUAACCCAUCGAAAGCUUGGCUAAUACCGCAUAUUCUUCGAGCGGCCAAUAUCUGAUUAGCUAGUUGGUGGGGUAAAAGCCUACCAAGGCGACGAUCAGUAGCGGAUCUGAGAGGAUGAUCCGCCGCACUGCGACUGGAACACAGCCCAGACUCCAACGGGAGACAGCAGAUGGGAAUUUUGGAGAAGGAGCGCAAGCCUAAUCCAGCCAUGCCGGGUGUCUAAAAAAGGCCUUCGGGUUUUAAAGGUCUUUUGUUAUGGAAGCGGUACCUAAGAAAUAGGCACCGGCUAACUACGUGCGAGCAGCCGCGGUAAUUC